UUCAGACUUCAGAUCGACUCAGUCUUCUUAUAAGGAAAAAGGGAAAAGGGGGAGAUUGAGGAAUUAGAGUGAUAGAAGACGAUGAGGGGCGGUUUACCUAUUAGCCGUCGAUCGGUUUUCAAGUUGCGUCAAGUUGGGAUCGGGACGCUUGGAUCGGCAAAGAUCAAGAUCCUUCUCUGCGGUUGCGUCGUGUUAAGUCUACUCGCAAUCGCGAACCGAAACCGCGACAGUUCUUCGUUUAUGGGAUGGACCGGUGACUUUGACCGCUCUUCUUCUC
rnacentral:lncRNA from 1 species